rnacentral:pre_miRNA from 1 species
GAUUUCAAUUGAAAAAGUCAUCAACAGCAAAGAUGUAUAGCUCAUCAGGAUCUAUAACUUUUAUUUUAGUCAUUUCUUCAUCCGAUAAAGUGAUAAUAACUUUGUUUACAAAAUUCACAUAUUUCUCAUCUGGUUUGUAAACUAUAACACAUAACACAGAUAUGUCAAUUUUGUCAACAAUGUUACUAACACUUUAUCGGAUGAUGAAAUGAUAAACAUAAAAGUUAUAGAUCUUGAUGAGUUAUACAACUUUGUUGUUGAUGACUUUUUUAGUUGAAAUC